rnacentral:rRNA from 1 species
UGCGGAGGAUCAUUACUGAGUUAGGGUCUCAUCUCGAGCCCGAACCUCCAACCCUUUGUAUAAAACACUUUGUUGCUUUGGCAGGCCCGUCUGAAAAUCCUUUAACCGGGAUCGACGACCGCCGGGGGCGUUUAGUCACCUCUGGCCAGUGCUUGCCGAUAGCCUAUUCAAAAUUCUUUAUUAAAUCAUGUCUGAAAAAUUAUAACUAAAUAUAAUUAAAACUUUUAACAACGGAUCUCUUGGUUCUGGCAUCGAUGAAGAACGCAGCGAAAUGCGAUAAGUAAUGUGAAUUGCAGAAUUCAGUGAAUCAUCGAAUCUUUGAACGCACAUUGCGCCCUUUGGUAUUCCGAAGGGCAUGCCUGUUCGAGCGUCAUUAUCAACCCUCAAGCUCGGCUUGUUAUUGGGCUCUUAUCGUUACAGAUAGGCCCGAAAGAUAAUGGCGGCGUCAUAAAUGACCCCAGAUGCAGCGAGCUUAUAGCAUACAUCGAAAGGUUUUUAUGGCCCGGCCUUAACGAGAAGCAAUUCUCAAUUUAUUUAAAGGUUGACCUCGGAUCAGGUAGGAAUACCCGCUGAACUUAAGCAUAUCAAUAAGCGGAGGAAAAGAAACCAACAGGGAUUACCUUAGUAACGGCGAGUGAAGCGGUAAUAGCUCAAAUUUGAAAUCUGGCUCUAGGGUCCGAGUUGUAAUUUGUAGAGGAUGUUUCGGGUGCGCCCGCAGUUUAAGUUCCUUGGAACAGGACGUCAUAGAGGGUGAGAAUCCCGUCUUGAACUGUACGGCAAGUCCAUGUGAAACUCCUUCGACGAGUCGAGUUGUUUGGGAAUGCAGCUCAAAAUGGGAGGUAAAUUUCUUCUAAAGCUAAAUAUUGGCCAGAGACCGAUAGCGCACAAGUAGAGUGAUCGAAAGAUGAAAAGCACUUUGAAAAGAGAGUUAAACAGUAUGUGAAAUUGUUAAAAGGGAAGCGUUUGCAACCAGACUUGUUUCUAACAGUUCUACCGCAGUUCUCUGUGGCUUAUUCUGUUAGUCCAGGCCAGCAUCAGUUUGGGUGGCUCGUUAAAGACUUUGGGAAUGUAUCUACUCCUUCGGGUGUAGACUUAUAGCCCAUUGUGUAAUAGGGUCUACCUGGACUGAGGUACGCGCAU